AGGACGAACGCUGGCGGCGUGCUUAACACAUGCAAGUCGAGCGGAAAGGCCCUUCGGGGUACUCGAGCGGCGAACGGGUGGGUAACACGUGAGUAAUCUGCCCCUAGCUCUGGGAUAGCUCCGGGAAACCGGGAUUAAUACCGGAUACGACCACUUUAGACAUCUGUUGUGGUGGAAAGAAUUUUGGCUAGGGAUGAGCUCGCGGCCUAUCAGCUUGUUGGUGGGGUAACGGCCUACCAAGGCGACGACGGGUA
rnacentral:rRNA from 1 species